UGAACGCUGGCGGCGUGCCUAAUACAUGCAAGUCGAGCGAACGGACGAGAAGCUUGCUUCUCUGAUGUUAGCGGCGGACGGGUGAGUAACACGUGGAUAACCUACCUAUAAGACUGGGAUAACUUCGGGAAACCGGAGCUAAUACCGGAUGAUAUUUUGAACCGCAUGGUUCAAAAGUGAAAGACGGUCUUGCUGUCACUUAUAGAUGGAUCCGCGCUGCAUUAGCUAGUUGGUAAGGUAACGGCUUACCAAGGCAACGAUGCAUAGCCGACCUGAGAGGGUGAUCGGCCACACUGGAACUGAGACACGGUCCAGACUCCUACGGGAGGCAGCAGUAGGGAAUCUUCCGCAAUGGGCGAAAGCCUGACGGAGCAACGCCUCGUGAGUGAUGAAGGUCUUCGGAUCGUAAAACUCUGUUAUUAGGGAAGAACAUAUGUGUAAGUAACUGUGCACAUCUUGACGGUACCUAAUCAGAAAGCCACGGCUAACUACGUG
rnacentral:rRNA from 1 species